rnacentral:rRNA from 1 species
CCUACGGGAGGCAGCAGUGGGGAAUCUUGCACAAUGGAGGAAACUCUGAUGCAGCGAUGCCGCGUGAGUGAAGAAGGCCCUUGGGUUGUAAAGCUCUUUUGUCGGGAAAGAUAAUGACUGUACCCGAAGAAUAAGGUCCGGCUAACUUCGUGCCAGCAGCCGCGGUAAUACGAAGGGACCUAGCGUAAUUCGGAAUUACUGGGCGUAAAGCGCGCGUAGGCGGUUAAGUAAGUUAAUUGUGAAAGCCCAAAGCUCAACUUUGGAAUUGCAAUUAAAACUAUUUAGCUAGAGUUUAUCAGAGGAAAGCGGAAUACAUAGUGUAGAGGUGAAAUUCGUAGAUAUUAUGUAGAACACCAGUUGCGAAGGCGGCUUUCUGGGAUAACACUGACGCUGAGGUGCGAAAGUAUGGGUAGCGAAGAGGAUUAGAUACCCUCGUAGUCCAUACCGUAAACGAUGAUUGUUAGAUGUUGGAAAUUUAUUUUCAGUAUCACAGCUAACGCGUUAAACAAUCCGCCUGGGGAGUACGACCGCAAGGUUAAAACUCAAAUGAAUUGACGG